rnacentral:tRNA from 1 species
GCCGCGGUGACGGAAUUGGCAGACGUACUGGGCUUAGAACCCAGUGUUCAUAUAGAACGUGGGAGUUCAACUCUCCCCCGCGGCA